UUUAAGGUCUUUGGUAGUGAAAAAAAGCUCCAUAGGUGGUUGUAACAUGACAAAAAUGUGAAAAAGGGUAUGAAUACUUUAGCAAAGCAACAAACCCUAUGAUCAUAAAAUGAAAGUAGUCCUUCCAGGAGCCUUGAAAAUUAAACAAAAGCUGUGGGAUUAAAUAACGACAGGCAUUAAAGACAGUAGAUAAAUGCUAACAGGAGUUCUGUUUGGAAAGAGAUUUACUUCAGAUUUAAAAACCAUUAGACGUGGCUGCCUCGCCUUCAACCAAAUGCUUAAAGAGAUCAAAAAAAAAAAAAAAAAAAAACACCCUAAUGGCUCCUGUGCAAAAAACUGAGGCAAACAUUUCAUUGUACAAUAAACCUUUAAUAAAUAGUUUAUCAUUAGUUUCCCGUAUUUACAUAAUAACCACCAUUUACUUACGUUGCCAUACACAUUUCUUGGCUAAUUUUAGGCACACAGAGAAGGGGGGGUUCAGGCCACAAACCACGUUGCACUAAAAUUAAAGAGUGGCUAAUAACAGGUACGCGUUUAGAAAUAUAUAACUGCACCGUACGACCAAACAGGACCAAGAGACGGCCAGCUCCUCGAGCGACAAGUAUAUAUUUACAUUUGCUGUGUGUACAGGUGAUUUUUGUACCUUUACAGUCGUCUGCUUGGAGUAUGAGCGCACAUGGAGGCUGGUGCAGAUUCUUACCAAUUUACAGAGGAUCGGGGAUGUGUGUUUACCUCUGUGCUUCGUCCAAUAAUCUACGAAUCGGGAAAGUCUAAGAUUAAAUUAACUUUAAAGACCGCCUGGAUGAAUAAGAACUGUGACAGGCUCAGUUAAGUUAUGUGGUCAAAAUGAUGUGGAACAUUCAGAUAUCAAUCUGGUAAACACACAAAUACACUCAAAACAGAAAAAAAAAAACUGUGAAAUGCUUGUCAUUAAAUGAAGACCAAGGCUGAAGAGAUCUAAACAAACAAACAAAAAUAAAAAUGGAAAAGUUCCUAAAAAUGACAGAAUCAGGACUUAAAAGCUAUUAAAAAAUAGAGCCUUUGAAGUUACAUCUUCUGCCAGAGAUAUUAAGACAAAAAAGAGAGAAGAAACCAAUAAUCAAAUUACUCAAGUGCAUACAGAGUACAAAAAGAAGCAAAAAUAAAACACAUUUGGCACACAUGUGAGCUCAGUUAUUAAAUAUCAGUUAGCUAGAAGAGGUAUGAUUAAAACAAACAAGAAGAAAAUAAUAAAACCUGCAGGGGAACAACUCCCUAAAACCACCAAAAGAAAGAGCGGGACGCCACCUACAGGCAACAAAAAUAGACUGUACCGAUUUGUACAACAUCAUUUGAGUCCAUUUCAGGUGCAGCAUCUUCAAAUGAGGUUUAAUUCACACUGAAACGGAAGAGAAGGGUUGUUAACAUCCUUUUUCAUUAAUUAUUUUAUUCCUCAUUUCUAGGGAUUGCUUGGAAAUGCAGGACCAAAAGCAUUAAUAUUUCUUUAUCAAAGUUUGAGCAGCUUCAGUCCUUAUGGUGCAGCAGGUUAAAUUUCCCUGCAAAGCUCAAAGAAAAGCAGCAGCGCGGUUUAAGGUAGGAUGGUUGGAAAUGUUUAGAGAUGGAUUCUGGAAAAUGAAAUCUGCUUUCAGAAACUCCUCCCUCCUCAUCAAGGCUCGAACUUUAAACAGAUAAAGCUGGAAAAAGUCAACAAUGUUGCUCACAGUCCACCCAAUGUCCUGGAUUUUAAUUAGUCUCGAUAGGAUAAUCUCUAGUAGAGCUGAGCGUUUAAUUUUGCAAAUCUGACCUUUUUUCAAACAAGUUUUUUCCACUCUUUACAAUGACAUUUCCAGUGAACAAGAUUGUAUUUAAUGCUGCAGAUAAUGUCUGAACAUCCUCAAACAGAUCGGCUGAAACUCGACUCUUUAAAAUUUAUGAAGUUCAAGGACGAAGCUGAAGAACCUUUUUGUUUUUUGUACGUUUUGUCCGCACUGGAUUAACUGCAGCCGCAUGGAAAUAAGCUAUGAGGCAAAAUAUUCAUGAGUCGCAUUAAAACAGAGGGAAAAACCUGCUCGCAUUUAGAUAACUGCCCCGUUUGAAAGCGAAAACAGGACCUGCUGCCUCUGGAAUGUCACUGGUGAGCGAGCUAACUGGGAUUAGUACUGGGAGGGGAAAAAAAAAAUCCUGAUCAGGAAGAGCUUAUUCUAGGUGGUACGACCCAAUCAACGCUUUUUACAGCAUAAUGAAUCAUUUAAUUCAGUACCUGACCCGACUGAGCAGGAAAAUGACACUAAAUAUAGAGGUCCAAUGCUGAAGGUCCAAUGCAUAAGCAGCAGACUGGGCUCAGGAAAGCAGGAGGAAUAAGCUGAAUUUGUAGAUUUAAAUUACAGCUCCCAAUGAGGAAACAGGUUUUAGAUCGAAAACAAGAUUUUACAUUUCUGCAAUCAAACCUCCAGGAUAUUAAACACUGAACUGUUAAAUACAGAGUUCCUGCAGACUUUUCACAUUAAGAUGUUCAGACUGAGAUCUGCAGGUUCUACUGAAAUAUAUAUAUAUAAAAAAACAAGUAUCUUCAAAAUUAUGGCAGAUGAAAUUCUACAGGGGGCGACUUUAAAUAAGAAAAGUGUAAGGAAGAAUAAAAGGUAGGAAGGACAAAAGAAGAAGAAAUAAAGGUUCAUGGAGAAAGAAAGGAAAGUAAUGGAGGAAGGAUAGAGAGACGAGGCAGGAACAAGGAACUCAAAGAAGGAAGAAAGGAAAGAACUGCAGAAAAAAUUAAAUAUUUAGACAUUGGGAGAGGGAGAAAAGUUUGAAAACAAAUAUUUUUUCCAUCCUCUACUUUCUAACUGAAGUCAAACUGUACUCCUCAGGAACUCUGUAAAUAAGAGCAACCGGAGAGCUUAGCGAGGCGAUGCAGGUUGGACAAACGCGUCGUGUUUUCAGUCGGCCGAUUAAACAUGAGGGAACAAAUGAAACCUUCAGUUUUUAGUAAAACUGUAGAAAUCAACACACACCACAAAGUGAAGAGACUUACUGCUGCAGGACUGCUACACUGCAAGAAACAUAAAGUCUUAAAGUAUUUUGUCUAAUUUCUAAUGCAAACAUCUUAGUAUUUAAAUAAAAUUAACUUAUAAGUAACUUAUCAGCAAGUUACAGGAGCUUGUUUUGAGUGAAUAAUCCUUAAUAUUUCUCAAGCUCAACUGGCAGAUUAUUUCACUUAUAACACGACAUUUUUCCAAUGUUAUGAAUGAAAUAAUCUGCUAGUGAAACUAGUACUUUUUAAAAUCAAUAGUAGGAAAUUAUUGACUUCAAACAAGCUGAUUAGCUACUUGUAAGUCAGUUUUGUUUUAUUUCAAAUGUACUAAGGUGUUUGCGCUAGAAACUAAACAAAAACGCUCGGUAAGAUUUUGUGUUUUUGCAGUGUGAUAUUCUCAUGAAUGCAUUAAUGAUAUUCCCAGAAACUUUGUGUUAACAGUCAGCGUCGACCACUGACCUGCUAAUCGAUAGCUCUACGUGGUCCUGAUGCUUUAGACAUUAAAAAACAAAACAAAACAAAAAACGUGGUUCUGUAAGCCUUCGCCCUGAUGCUGAUACACGUCAAGAACCGAUUUGAACAGGAAGGGUAUGAAUGCGGAGGAAUAAAAAGUGUCUAACAGCUCCGAUGGGAGCGACAGAGUAAGAUUACAGAGCCUUCUCAGACCUUGGUCUUCAUACAGGUUAUGUCUAUUUUUUUUUUAAAUUAUUAUUAUUAUUUAAAUGGUAAGCCACUUCAAGGCAACGUUUGUUUCUUGAAUUAAAAACUUGAAGCACAACUGGACUUCAGUUUGAACAGAGAAAAAUAUACAACCCAAACUGUACUAUGAAUCUAGAGAACUGCAAGUAAACAUUGAAAAAGGACUUCAGCUAACGAAGUGGUCUCUUUCCUGCACUUCUCUCCGUAAGAAGUCUGAUAUCUGAAUAAAUCUGUGGUCCUGACGCUGAAGCCUUCAUCAUCUGAACAGGUCAGCCAUCCUGGCUGAGGUUAGGCAGCCUUUCCUCAACGCUCCGCUUAACAGGUCCGAAAACGACGACGAGCGUUGGGACACAAGUUAUCUUUCCAGUACGAGAGCUCGAGUGUUUGUCGUUACACUCCAGCUGGACGAAAACCAAUAUCAAGACUCACACAGGUACGUAGUGGCAUUUUAAAUAAACACCCCUCUCUCGUGCUUGGUUCUAUGUGCCACACCUGCAGAGAAAAUGGAGUCCAGCUGAGCAGCGUCUCUCUCACUCACACCCAAAAAAA